UAGAAUUCGAAAUUAGAAAGCGCAGUUCGUGUGCGGUAUCGUUAUUGAGGAAAGAGCUUAUGAAGCUCCCCCGUUCCAGCUUCCUUUGUUCGGGGCACCGGAGCACGGGAGGCUGGUGGCGCCCCUAGCGGGGCUUUCCCGAAGCAGGGGUUACGCGGUCGCGAGAGGCUGUGUUUAUCAUUCAGUACGACUGGAUUUCACCAUGGAGACGCGUUCUUUGUAUAUGUGGUUUCUUUUCUCCGCUCUCACUUCUGUUUACGCUAUAGCGCUGACAAAAGUGGUCCAGACCCCCGGUCUAACUCAAUCGCGGGUGGAAAUGUGGAAUACAGUUAUGUGUCGAACAACCAAGUGAAUAUCAGUAAUGUAUGGACCUGCCGGAAGAGGGAUACCCCGUUUUUUACCGCUACUUUCGCGACCGCGUAACGUGGUUCGAGGCCGACGCCGUUUGCCAGUUCCAUCACGCCAACUUGUCACAGGUAAGAUGACCUCAGUAUCUUAAGCACACGUACCGACGAAAACUCAAUCCUUUUUACAGAAAGGAAAGUUAAAAGUGGACGUAUUUCUGUCAAACGGAACUAAGCGCCAUCGGAGGAGGAAAGUAGCGGGGGGCUUGGAUUGGCGGCGAAAUCGGGC
rnacentral:lncRNA from 1 species